rnacentral:misc_RNA from 1 species
UGGAAUACGCCAGCCCCAGGCCCGCAGUUCCGCGUCCGUCAGUGAAAGCUGGACGAUCAGCACGACCAGCGAGGCGAGCAACUGCCCGCCGAUCAGCGUGACGUACUGGAACGAUGCGUAGAAACCGCGCUUGCCGGGCAGCGAAACCUCGCUCAUGUAGGUCGCGGUGGUGCCAUAUUCACCGCCGACCGAAAGCCCCUGCACCAUGCGCGCAAGCAGCAGCAAGAUCGGCGCUGCGAC